rnacentral:rRNA from 1 species
CAGCCGCCACGGUAAUACAGAGGGUGCGAGCGUUAAUCGGAUUUACUGGGCGUAAAGCGUGCGUAGGCGCCUUCUUAAGUCGGAUGUGAAAUCCCUGAGCUUAACUUAGGAAUUGCAUUCGAUACUGGGAAGCUAGAGUAUGGGAGAGGAUGGUAGAAUUCCAGGUGUAGCGGUGAAAUGCGUAGAGAUCUGGAGGAAUACCGAUGGCGAAGGCAGCCAUCUGGCCUAAUACUGACGCUGAGGUACGAAAGCAUGGGGAGCAAACAGGAUUAGAUACCCCCGUAGUCCCUGUCUCUUAUAC